CCCACCUUCCCCUUGCUGAUAGCUUCAGAAAACAUUGACAGUUUUGGCAGAGCUGCUGAAAUUUCUUAAUUAAUGUCUUGAUUAAUUCAUUACAGCGAUGAUUAAUCCCUUGUUUUGUUUUUUAUGCAAAUGGUUUGGCAGAGGAGAGAGCACCCAGACCCAGGGAAUGGCAGGUAAUGUCCUGCCAUCAUUCAGCCAGGAGGCACCGAGGCAGCAGUGACCCACACACAGCCCAAACACGGCAGAGAAGGGGCAGGUACAGAACGGCGAUUUGCAUCACUGCGGGAUGGGGAGAAGGCCAGAGUGGGGCUCAGAAUCACCUUGUUAUGUUGGCAAGGCUAAGGACGUGAGCAUGUAACAGAAACACAUAGGAAACUCAUUAGUUCUCAGAGAGGACAAAGAGCUCAUGCAGAAGCACGUCCCCAGAAGCAGCCUCACGGCUCUGCAUGGACACGUGUCUGAGGAGUGUCAGACACCAACACCUCGCUACCUGCCCAGGGCCUGCGUCACGGCUGUGCUAGCAUGGAUUGCUCAAUAGAUAUUACUCUACCCAGAGAGAAAGGCCUCAGAACUACUGCGGCGUUGCCCUCCAAGUUCCUCCUUAAAUCCCGUCCCUGCAGGCAGGCAGCAGCAUCUGCUCUCGCAGUCUCUCGCAGUCACGUCGUGCUUCCCCUCAUCUGACGCGCUAAUUGUCUCCUACGCUGAGAGCUCCGCUCCGCAGGAGCAAUGCGUGCACAGUGCCUGCCUGGGAGAGGUGGGCCUGGGCCUUCCUGGUGGGCCUGGGCCCCUCGAGGCUUCUGUAUUACAGAUCCUCAGCACAGCUCCUGCGGGCUGCGUGCGGGCGCACCAGGCCCUCACAGAGCACAGCAGCCCUCUCCGUGCAGCAAGAACACCUCUUCUCCGUGAUUUCUCACCUACUGAAGGAAACAUUUGCAGUUGACCCUUUGAAUCACACAGCACUUCUGAGAAGGGGCUGAUGGCUCGGCACCUGUCCUUACAGCUUUUCAGCUAUGGAAGAAGGCCUGGCUGAAUUAACCUGUUUUAAAGAAGAGCUCUGUGUUUUCACAUACAGCAGUUAACCCAUUAAAGGAGCAAUAUGAUCACUCAGGUCUCCGGACAGCCACACUUCAGCUUGCUCAAACAGAACGCUUUGCACUGAGUCAUUCCUGUCCACGUGCUCCUGCUGUGUCCCAGUGCAAAGCUCAGAAGUGACAUGGUGACCCUUCAUAUCAGCAGUGUGGGCAGCAGGCACCAUGCCUGGCUUCGCCCCAGGGAUGCAACCGAAACUCAGCUAAAUGUCUACGUGAAUACACAUGAAACACAAACCGUUAUAUUAGAUGUUAUCUUUUGAUACAGUUAACUAACAUCACCAUGAAUAAUACAAUCAUGAAUGUUAUUUCCUUUUACUUCUUUCAUGAAGUAUUUCAAACACUGCACGAUUCCACAGACAGAAGAAACUUACUGACUGUGGCAAUGCAGGAUCUGACACCCAAGAGGAGGAAUUUGUGUGUCACAAUAAAAAUGAGUCAGAACUGUCUGUUGUAUUAAUA
ensembl:lncRNA